CGUUUCAAAUCUCAAAUAUCAUGAAUUGAGAAAAUCUACUAGCAUCCAUCAAUAUAUAGAUUCAGAAAAUAUAUAGAUUCAAUAUCCGAUAUUGAUACUCGAUAUAUAGAUACGAUUCGAUACGUGGCAAAACCGAUAUUACCCACUCCUAGUACUGACUUAAUAUGGGGCCCAAAUGUCAUAUUUUUGUUAAGGGUGACGCCUAGGUACUUAGCCUUCGAAGCCCAGGUUAUGGGCUGACCAAAGAUUUUAAUGGCGGGAAUGGAGUUUCCGCGCCUAAUUCGUAAUGAAAUAAGUACUAGCAGUACUAUGCGUCGACUUCUUCAUUAUUAUUUUGAGAAGGUUGUUGCUGUGAUUUAAUUUCUAAAAUUGAAGAAUUUAUUAUAUUUGUUGCUCGAUAACAUGUUGAUUAUUAAUAAUUUGAUGGUUUUUACCAAAACAGAAAAAAACCAAUGUCAAUUUACAAAGAUGUAAAAUCGAUUUCAUUUUGUGUUUUUGGCUGAAGAAAUCGAUUCGUCGAUUAAGCGAUGUCAGAUCGCCCUCCAUAAGCCUGAGGCUGAGGAGCGGGGAAAAGUUUUGAAGUUUGAAGUUUUUCGUAUCUGCGAGUGAACUUGAUUAUUUUGUUUACGUACGUGCAAUAAGCCGACCGCAAUAAAAUGAAAAUUCGGACUAAUAAUUUUUCAUCUUUAUAUCGCAUUUUUGAAUGCGAUCUAAGAACAAUAAAAUCGUGUUUCCGGGCUAUUACUGUACCCGAUAGAUUGUACAGUGAUGACAGCCGUGUGGAGGCGGCGGCCUCAUUAAGCGACCUACAUGGUCGUCGACACAACUACCUGCGAAUAUCUCUCACUGAGCGAUGCAACCUGCGAUGUAAGUCAUACUAGACACAUCAUCAUAUUUUCACACGUCUACACUUUAGUUUUCAGACUAUCUGCAUCAAUGAUCUAAAAAUUGUUUGUUCAUAAAUAAGAUCACAAGACACAAAUGAAGAAGUCAAUAAUUAAAUUAUAAUCAUCAAAACUAGUUGAACUAGCCCAGUCUGUACUGCUGAAUCAACAGAACCGUUUUUAUGUACAAUAUUAUCCACAAUAAGUGGCUUAUUUUGUGUUAAUAUAUAUUGCCUCAUGCUUUAUUACAUUAACAACACCACGUGACUGCAUGAACUAGUCUCAGAAUCGAUUUGACCUUACCCAGUUAUCAUUCUAUGAAAAGGCAAAAAAUAUAUUAGAUAACACAUACGCAUGUCUGCUGCAAACAUUAACACUAAACAUUGUUGAUUGUUGAUAUUAUGGAGCUUGCAAGUAAAUAGUCAAUAUAGAUAUGUAUGUAUAAUUUUAUAUAAAAAACAGCUUUUCAAAAAUGAAUAUUUCUUUAUAAUGAUUGACAGCAAAGAUUGAAUCAGUUAAUUUAGAAAAAAGGAGUGGCGAGGGUACUAAAUGUAAUUGUAGUGAAAGGUUAUGAGAUAACUCUAUAAUUUAAAAUUUUAAUGAACAAUCCUAUUGUGCUAAAAAUAGCUUUGAUGAUGAUGUUUCAUAGCUCUUUAAUAGAUACUUCUUGAACAUUGAAGUUAUUGUGGUCUAAAGGAUAAGAUACCGGGUGUAUAUACAAAUGUGUAUCUAGUUAUGCAACUGGGCUGCUGUUUGAAUCCUGCAGGCAGGAACCAGUUUUUCUGCUAAAAAACAUACAUAAAAAAUGUUCAUGAAAAGCUAACAUGAUGAAGGAAAAACAGUGUAUACAAAAAAUGAAACCUGCAACAAUUUUAAUUUGCAUAAUUACUGGUGGUAGGUACCAUAACCCUGCCUAUUUCUGCCGUCAAGCAGUAAUGCGUUUCAGUUUAAAGAGGGGCAGACUGUAUUGAAAAAACUUAGAACUCAAGCCUCAAGGUGGGUGGCAGCAUUUAUAUUUGUUGAUCCCUAUGGGCUCUGGUGACCACUUAACACCAAGUGGGCUUGAACUACUUGAUUACAUACGUAAGCAAUAAAUAAAAUCGACUAUACAAUAUUUUUUUCUUCCACUGAAAAGGGUAAUGUUCCAGAGUAAUGAGGUUGUUUGGAACUUCUGGGUCUGUAGAGGGGCUUCGGUUCCGUCUGUAUUUUGUACCGUAUGUUCCAUGGGGAGUGCUCUGAGGAAUUGUUUGAGAUGAUACCAUCGUCUCGUUUUUACCAUCGCACCGCCCGUUACCGGAGUAGAGUUCAUCCAUACUACCUGGAGCCACUGCAUUCAUCCAUAGUGCCCUUUUUAGAGAUCUUUUUUGCCAUGUACCAUCUGGCUUUUGAAUAAGCUCCACUCCAUGGUGAUUCCCGAACGCUAUAACAUAUCCUUCUUCAAACGAGACUUGUGGAGAGUCAUUCUUACUUAACGGUAGGCAGUGGCUUGGCUCUGCCUCUGGCAUUGCUGAAGUCCAUGGGCGAAGGUAACCAUUCACUGCAACGGCUGCCCCACCCUUCAAACCGAAACGCAUUACUGCUUCACGGCAGAAAUAGGUAGGGCAGUGGUACCCACCCGCGCGGACUCACAAGAGGUCCUACCACCAGUAAUUACGUAGAUUAUAAUUUUGCGGGUUUGAUUUUUAUUACACGAUGUUAUUCCUUUACCGUGGAAGUCAAUCGUGAACAUUUGUUGAGUACGUAUUUCAUUAGAAAAAUUGGUACCCGCCUGAGAUUCGAACACCGGUGCAUCGCUCAACACGAAUGCGCCGGUCGUCUUAUCCGUUAGGCCACGACGACUUUCUAUUUCUAAACAUUAACAAUUGUAUGAACAACUAUUCGUAAUGAGCUUUUUUUAAAUGGGUUUAUUUUAAUUCGAUUCUCACGGAUCGUUUGGAAUUUCUGGGUCUGCGAAGGGACUUCGCUUUUCUCUGUAUUUUGUACCGUAUGUUCCAUGAGGAGUGCUUUGAGGGAUUGUUUGAGAUGAUACCAUCAUCUCGUUUUUACCAUCCACCACCCGUCACUGGAGUAGAGUUCAUCUCCAUAUUACCUGGAGCCACUGCGGUCAUCCACAGUGCUACGACAUGUCCCUCUUCAAACGAGGCUUGUGGAGAGUACUUAACGGUAGGCACCGGCUUGGCUCUGUCCCUGGCAUUACUACAUUACGGGCAAGGUGGGCAAACGCAAUACUUCGUCUGUUUCUUUUUAAUAACGCGUCAAUUUUGUAAAUAUCUUCAGUUUCUGUCAUUUUAAUCAAUUUUUAAUAAGUCGUCCUUUCUAAGCUCAUCAUCAAAAGGCACGUCAUGUCGUCGUAACCACGUUUGCAUUACCGCCUUGGUACAAACCAGUCGGCUUUUUUCUUUUCGAACCGAAUGGUAAGCUGCGUUAUCCAUCACGGUGAUAGAAUUUGGUGGUAUAUUAGGCAUCAGCUUUUAUCCAUUUACAUACUUACUCUACAUUUAUCUCUUUACUGAAAUUCAGGAAAAUCACAGUCGUGAUAACCCCUGUGUUACAUUUGGAUUAUCACAAGUGCUCCGUCUACAAAUCCAGUUUGACCUUCACAAUGUUCGAUGAUCAUAUGAUAUGACGCCUUAAAACUCUCAAAAUAAUUAAUUAAAUUUACUUAAAUUUUGACGCUCCAAUUCUAUAUGUUCGCCAGAGAACUAUUUUAAAGCCUUUUACAAGAAGACUGACCAAUCCAAGGGGUCAAUCAUCCCCUAAACUCAAUUUGAUUGUCGUCGUGGCGACAGGUGCAUUGCAUGCAGGGCUUUAGGUGCAUUCAUAUCUAGCGACGUAUCGGUGUUCGAAUCCCGCAGGCCGCUACCAAUUCUUCUAAUAAAAAACGUACUUAACACAUAUUGUUAAGUACGUUUUUCAUUUUUCACGAUUGACUUCCACGGUGAAGAAUCGUGUAAUAAAAAUCAAACACGCAAAUUAUAAUUUGCGUAGUUACUGGCAGUAGCACGUCUUGCGAGUCCGCGCGGGUCGGUACCUCCGCCUCAUUUAUUUCUGCCGUGACGCAGUAAUGCGUUUCGGUUUGAACGGUGGGGCAGCCGUUGUACUGUAAAAACUGAGACCUAGUACUUAUAUCUCAAGGUAGGUGGCGGCAUUUACGUUGUAGAUACCUAUGGGCUCCGGUAGCCACUAACAGCAGGUGGGCCGCGUGAUCGUCCACCCAUCUAAGCAAUAAAAAAAAAUGGCUCUGUGUGUAGCGAGCGAGCGAGAGGGCAUUAUUCACGCACAUGAGAGUGAGUGAGACAUGUAUUAGCAUAUAUUACCUUCCUGCUUCUCUGUUACAGUUUACCCAUAUUAAUUAAUUAUUAAUAUCGCACCUCCCUCCAUCGGAGCAGUCCAUCCAUAUUAUCCGUAACCGCUGCGUUCAUCGACAGUGUGUUUCCAGAGGUCUUUUUUGUCACAUACCGUCCGGCAAUAUUUUUUUAUCGCUUUUCUAGGCAGACGAGCAUGCGGGCCACCUGAUGGUAAGUGGUUACCGUCGCUCAUGGACUUCAGCAAUUCCAGGGGCAGAGUCAAGCCGCUGCCUACUGCAGCAUACCGUGCUUAUUGUGGCGGUAGCCAUCACAGAACACAAGAUAUUUGACAGAUGCCUGAGUCUUUUUGAAGUGAAAACUUAUUUAGCAUCGUUGUAAUUCGAAAAUCGAUGAAAAGAAAAAGCGACAGUCAGAAGAGACACAUUGUCAUAAGAUUUAACGUGAGAAAAUAAGACAAGAAGCAUUAUAAUACAGUGUUUCUUAUAUUCGUGGUUCUCUUUGUGCUCUGCUUCGUACUUAAUACAUUCUGAAUAAAUAUAUGCUAUAUAUACGAAUAAAAUAUUAAAUAAUUAUCAAACUUUGUAACAUUAUGAUCAUUACUAAAACCUACAAUUAUCCCGAAAUUUUACAUUCGUCUCAUUAACUUGAAUUCGAACUUUUUUACGAUAUCACUUUUACCACGUGUGAAUUGUACACAUGCUUUUUUUCUUUAUAUAUAUUUUUGUUCUAUCGCUCGCACCAUCGAUUCGCCAUAACCAAGACUGGCUAUCGUGUAUUUGCUACCAUCGACUUGGUUAAAGCAUUUAAUCAAAUACCUGUUUUUGAAGACGAUAUACCAAAAACAGCGAUAA